rnacentral:lncRNA from 1 species
GCUGAGAAAGGAAUCAGGAAACCAUUUCAUUCACAAUAGCUUCAGAAAUUAAUAUAUAAAAUACCUAGGAAUAAAUCUAAGCCAGGAAGUGAAAGAACCUUACAAAUGAAAUUAUAGACACUUAAAAAAGAAAUUGAAAAAGGCACUAGAAGAUGGAAAAACUUUCCAUUUUUUGUGGAAAGGAAGAAUUAAUACUGUUAAACUGGACACAAUACACAAAAGUUUACAGAUUUAAUGCAAUCCUCAUCACAAUGCUAACAAUAAUCUUCACAGGAAGAGGAGGAAAAAUCCUAAAAUUAAGAGGUUAAAAACAAAAUACCCACAGUAGCCAAAGCAAUCCUGAAAAAAAAAAAAACUAUGGAGGUGUCACAAAACCCAUUUUCAAAUUAUAUUACAGGGCCAUAGCACAAAACCUGCAUGGUAGUGUAAUAAAAACAGACACGUAGACCAAUGAAAUAGACUAGAAAACAGAAAAACCCACACCAAUGCAGCCAGCUGAUCCUUGACAAAGUUGACAAAAAUAUAUCGAAGGAAAGACUGCCUCUUUAACAAAUGGUGCUGGGAAAAUUGGAUAUUCAUAUUUUAAAAAGUGAAAGCACAUUUAUCUCCCUCUCUCUCCAUAAAAGUCAACUCAAAAUGGACCAAAAAUCCAGGGAUGAGACCAGAAACUUUACAACUGUUAGUAUGUUGAAGUGUUUCCCCUGUUUUUUUCUAAGAUGUAUGUAUAAAACCUAAUGUUAAGUUUAGUCAUGGAGGUGCUCUUACUUGAAUUCAACAAUAAAGAAUGCAAAUAAAAAUCAGAUCCUUUGAAGCUUAUGGAGAAAAAUAUUACUGCCCACUCCACAUCUGAAGGUGCAUAAUUUGAUUUCUUUUACAUUAGUAGCCAAUAUGUCCCCUGAAAGCAGAUGCAGCUUGGAAAUAUGAGAAUGUUUCAACAUUCAUCUGAGGCAGCAGUUCAACCAAACUUGGACAAGUUUUCAUCCUUGCAUAGCUAAUACCUAAGCUUUGUGAAACACAUAUUGAUAACUUCUGAGGUUUUUGAUGUUCAAUCCUUUCACUUUGAAAAGUUCAUAAGUUACCACUAAUCCAC